rnacentral:tRNA from 1 species
UCCCUGGAGGUCAAGUGGUUAAAACUCUGCACUUCUAAAGCAGGGGUCCUGGGAUCAAUUCCUGACAGGGGAA